rnacentral:rRNA from 1 species
AACGAACGCUGGCGGCAUGCCUAACACAUGCAAGUCGAACGAAGGCUUCGGCCUUAGUGGCGCACGGGUGCGUAACGCGUGGGAAUCUGCCCUUUGGUUCGGAAUAACAGCUGGAAACGGCUGCUAAUACCGGAUGAUGACGAAAGUCCAAAGAUUUAUCGCCAGAGGAUGAGCCCGCGUUGGAUUAGGUAGUUGGUGGGGUAAAGGCCUACCAAGCCGACGAUCCAUAGCUGGUCUGAGAGGAUGAUCAGCCACACUGGGACUGAGACACGGCCCAGACUCCUACGGGAGGCAGCAGUGGGGAAUAUCGGACAAUGGGCGCAAGCCUGAUCCAGCAAUGCCGCGUGAGUGAUGAAGGCCCUAGGGUUGUAAAGCUCUUUUACCCGGGAAGAUAAUGACUGUACCGGGAGAAUAAGCCCCGGCUAACUCCGUG